UAAAGACUGUAAGACUGUCUCUUUCCGACUGUCACCCCCUCCCCCUGAUAGCUUGGCCAUUCUGAGAACAAAGAAGGAAAUCAUAGUGGGGGUGAGGAAAAUGGUCAUGUUCCACUUUAAAAAAUAGAUAUUUAAUUUCUGGUUACUUUGAAGAUUCUAGUUGCCAUAACAACUUGCUGUGAUUCUUCAUGGCACAUUUUGUUCACAUGGUUUUAAGAACUUUAUGGGCUCUGACCAGAAAAUGCCAGCAAGAUUUGACCAAAAGAAAAAAGAAAAACACUACCCCAAGUAUCAGCUUUCUGGUAGCCUGUGGUGCAGGGUGGAGCUUUUGAAACUUAUCUUCACCUAAGUCAAGGAAGUGUUACUGUUCCCAUUUCACAUGUGGAGAAAGUGAGGAUCCAGGUCAAAGAGCACAUCUGUGGAAGAGCCAGCAAUAGAACCCAGUGGCUGCCUACUGCCCUCCCUUGUUCUUGCUUAACUUAUCGAAGUUUAAGAGGCGAAAGUCAAAGCUGCUCCUUACUGUGCAAGUCUCUAGAGAGCAGCGCUGAGGUGGAACUGCCAAGCCUGAGCUGAGAGGAA